UGGGAUAACUUCGGGAAACCGGGGCUAAUACCGGAUAAUAUUUUGAACCGCAUGGUUCAAUAGUGAAAGACGGUUUCGGCUGUCACUUAUAGAUGGACCCGCGCCGUAUUAGCUAGUUGGCAAGGUAAUGGCUUACCAAGGCGACGAUACGUAGCCGACCUGAGAGGGUGAUCGGCCACACUGGAACUGAGACACGGUCCAGACUCCUACGGGAGGCAGCAGUAGGGAAUCUUCCGCAAUGGGCGAAAGCCUGACGGAGCAACGCCGCGUGAGUGAUGAAGGGUUUCGGCUCGUAAAACUCUGUUAUUAGGGAAGAACAAAUGUGUAAGUAACUGUGCACAUCUUGACGGUACCUAAUCAGAAAGCCACGGCUAACUACGUGCCAGCAGCCGCGGUAAUACGUAGGUGGCAAGCGUUAUCCGGAAUUAUUGGGCGUAAAGCGCGCGUAGGCGGUUUCUUAAGUCUGAUGUGAAAGCCCACGGCUCAACCGUGGAGGGUCAUUGGAAACUGGGAAACUUGAGUGCAGAAGAGGAAAGUGGAAUUCCAUGUGUAGCGGUGAAAUGCGCAGAGAUAUGGAGGAACACCAGUGGCGAAGGCGACUUUCUGGUCUGUAACUGACGCUGAUGUGCGAAAGCGAGGGGAUCAAACAGGAUUAGAUACCCUGGUAGUCCACGCCGUAAACGAUGAGUGCUAAGUGUUAGGGGGUUUCCGCCCCUUAGUGCUGCAGCUAACGCAUUAAGCACUCCGCCUGGGGAGUACGACCGCAAGGUUGAAACUCAAG
rnacentral:rRNA from 1 species